GCUAUUCAUUUCGCAUGAAUGAAACCAUUUCUGGAAUAUUUUCGUUGCAUGGAAAGAUUUACAAAAGUUUCCAUUACAAUUUGUAAACAAACUCCAAAGGGACGGCCCAGACACUGGCACUGGCACUGGCACAGUAAAAGAGAGGCAAACAAUUCAACAAGUGCCAGCUGCUUGACUCUGGGGGUCAAUAAGCAGCCGCUGACUGUAUAUAUACUACAUGCCACAUAAAACGCAAUAACAACAAUGAUAUGUCCGAGCACGAGACUGGCCAGUGAUAAUCCCCCCACAUCACGGAGAGAGAGACUGACGCAGACGGAGUGCGCGGGUGAACCGCAGCGUUUGGCUCUGGCUCUGCCUCUGGCUCUGGCAAAGAAUAAUAAGGAGAGUUCUUUAACAAGAAGCUUCCCGUAAAAAGUAGUGAGUGCGAAAAAUUCAUAUAUCAUAUCUCUUAAAUGUGCACAUAUAAAGCGAAUACUCCAAACAUAUACAUGAUAUAGCUCCAUUUACAAGGAACUCGAUGCACAAAUCUUACUUUAAGAGAGAGACAAAACAAACUAAGUAUCCAGCUUAUUUAUACGCCUCCUAUCAAAGCCGCAAGGUAAGGCCAUUAAAAAUUGCAAUGGAAAAACAGAUGCGUUUCAGUGUAAACAAUAACAAAAUUUUGGCAUUGGAAAUGGCUGGAAACGUGCUUUGGCAUUUGUUUGUUAUUGUUGUUGUUGUUGCUGCUGAACAGCCUUCACUAAUAAACCGUUAUGCAAUGUGCCAAAGCAGAUAACAAAGCAGAAAGAGCAAUACAACAGCAACAACAACAACAACAACAGCUGCAAACUGUAAUUGAAGCUUUGGCUGGAAAUUAAUGGAAGCCGAGUCGCAUUUGGACUUUGGAGCCGACUCGAAGUGAGAGUGGGAAAUCUGAAGUGAAUUAACGGUUAACGAAUUAACUCUUAAAUAGUACAUUUUGUAUAACGAAAAACCGGAAAACUUUUUGGGAUUCAGCGUUAUUUAUGUGGCAUAACUGAAGGAUUCUGGAUGAUUUACAAAAGUAACAGUAAAUUGCUCAUCAAGAUCAGUUCGAAACGCCUCGCGAUCAGUUCAAUUAGCUAGGGUACUCUCCGCAGCCGGGACUCGGACAAUCCAUACACUCGACGAUCUUAUGAGAGUGAACCGAGUGUUGUUGUUGUUGUUGGAACUGACAUUGACAUGAUCCACAACGGCUGUCAUAAAUCUCACCUACCUUGGCUGGCACUUGAUGGGAUUGUUCCCGGAAUCGUUCGGUGGCUUACGUUUGGCGUUCGGUUCUUGCUGUUGGUGGUCAAAAGGAUCUCGAGAUGAAGGAAAAAAAGUGCAAAUCACUUCAUUAAAGCAUUGCAUACGCGACGACCCCCGCAGCUGCCCCCACGUUGCGUAGUUGCGCCGACGUCGCGACGUCUCCGAUUUGCAACUUUGUUGCGCAAGGCUCCAUACGGGAGGCUGCACAUCAUUUGGCUUAAUGGAUCCGCGGCAACAACAAUGACAACAACAAACGGCAAACAGCUUUGCCUGUUUGCUCUGACCCGCAAAAAGUUCGGUAUUGGUGGAUCGCGGCAUCGCCAAUCGUUGACUGUGCGCGGUUCGAACCAUCAAAACGAACGAGCAACAACAACAAGAAAAAACAACGAAAGAGUUAUAGUCGAAAGUGCUGGACUUGAAACUACCCUGUGCCCAAGUCAUUCGAAUAGAAAGGCGAUAUUUAAAAGCUAAAGAGAAACAAUGAGGGAGGCUCGGAAAGAGUGAUAAAUUAAUCCUCAUUCGAAUAAUAAAAAAUAUAUUGCCAAUGGAAAAUCAAGAACAUAUCAACUCGUGAACUCAUGCUAAUCGGAAAAAGACUGCCAAAUUAAGGACUACAAGGACCUCUAAGGACCUCUACGAGGGACACAGCAGAUUUUUUCAGGAUCGGACUUAAAUUAAGCCAUAUGUAGUUAUUUAAAGUUAAAAAAAGCAAUAAUUAUAAUUUAUGCCCGUUUGUAUCAUUUUAAGAGAAUUAAUUGAGAAAUUUUAUAAAUUUAA